rnacentral:siRNA from 1 species
CUAGCUUAUCGUACCAAUCCAG